rnacentral:misc_RNA from 1 species
UCCCUAAAAAAGGGCAGUCUCGCCUGACACUUGUAACAGGCAAUGAGGGUUGCGUUCGUUACCCCACUUAAGGGAACAACUCAAGCCACGAACUGACGACGGCCAUGCAUCACCUGUCCAGCCGCCCGAAGGCGGAUCUAGUUUCCUAGACCCUUCGACUGGAUUUCUAGCCCUGGUAAGGUUCUUCGUUUGUCGACGAAUUGAGCCGCAUGUUCCACCGCUUGUGCAAGUCCCCGUCUAUUCCUUUGAGUUUUAAGCUUGCGCUCGUACUACCCAGGCGGAUGACUUAACGCGUUAGCUUCGCCUCGAAGAGGGUCGAUACUCCUCAAAGCCAGUCAUCAUCGUUUAGGGCGUGGACUAC